rnacentral:rRNA from 1 species
AUGAUUGUCUAUGAUGUGGAAUACCGCAACCAACUCAUUGCACCAAGAUUUGGGUAUUGUUAUUUGUAUUUUUAUCUUCUACACCGAGAUAUGCCAGGGCUUAGAAGUUUCUGCGCCGUGCAUUUGAGAAACUUACGCGACAGUGUUGCACCCUCAAUUGUUCAGUUGGCAAUUUGCCCUAUUGUGAAAGGGCGUGUUGAUGAUGCAAAGCCAAUUCUACUUGGUACUGGUCUAGUAUUGAGUCGUACACAUGAUCAUAUUGGAAUAAUUACGACUAUCAACUGCCAUCAGCGUGAGGGGUACGCGAUUGUUGCAAGAUUUGAUGAUGAAAACAACUUGGAGGUAGAAGUUGUAACCAAUAGUGGAUUGCUCUUUGGCUUGGUAGUGCGGGGUCAUGAUCUUACGGCGGUAGCAUGUAUUCCUGCCUCUUUCUAUUGUGGUGACAUUCCAAGAUCAGAGCCAGUGUUUGCUCUUGGGUGUUUGGGUGCCGAAAAAGGGAAGAUUAUUGUUACUGGACUUGUUAGUGUUGGUGACUAUGAGAAGGUGCUGAGACGAAUUGAAAUUGAAUCAUUUGUCCACUCAUGCCCAAUUGGAGAUGGGUUAAUUGGGGCCCCAGUUUUUAACUCAAGUGGUGAGGUUCUAGGAAUAAAUGUUGCUCGUACUCCUCAAUCAUCAACAAUAAAUUUCGCGUUGAAGGUUGAUGACUUCAGAGAGAUGUUGGCAGGCUUAGUUGGUGUGGAGACGGAUGUUCAAAUCCCACAACUUCUAGAAUUAUUCAGUGAGCAGAUAUCAAGAUUUGAAUCAAGAAAGGAGAAACAUGGUCCAAAAAGAAAGGCUGAAGUUUUAGAGAACACAGGAGGCACGGGUGAAGCUGAAGGCUCUAGGCGACGACACACAAGCAUGGGUGGUGGAUCGAGGAGGGGCGCAAAGUCCUGA